GGGUCAGUAGGUUGGUCGUGCCACCGGUACGUACUGGUCUCACUGAUUCCUCCUUCCUGAAGAACCGUAAUGCCAUUAAUUUGGUGUUGCGGGGAGACAGGACUGUUACUUUGAAAAAAUUAGAGUGUUUAAAGCAAGCUAACGCUUGAAUACAUUAGCAUGGAAUAAUGAAACAGGACGAUCGAUCCUAUUUUGUUGGUUUCUAGGAUUGACGUA
rnacentral:rRNA from 1 species